AAUUUCAAUAAUUUGAAAGAGAGUUGUUAUGUGAAUUUUUUAUCAGUACAGAUUACUUCACAACUUUUAAUUCGUUGUAGAAGUGUUAUGUAAAGAGAAUACUUAUAUUCUUUCAGCUUAUAUAUAUAAUUGCUAUUACUUGCUGGGCACUCAAAUGCUCACCCUUGCUUAAAUUAAAUGUUUUCAGUUAUGUAUGAGCAACCUGAAGGCUCA
rnacentral:lncRNA from 1 species